rnacentral:rRNA from 1 species
UACAGAGGUCUCAAGCGUUGUUCGGAUUCACUGGGCGUAAAGGGCGCGUAGGUGGUGAAGUAAGUCGGAUGUGAAAUCUCGGAGCUCAACUCCGAAACUGCAUUGGAAACUACUUUGCUCGAGGGUUGGAGGGGGGACUGGAAUUCUCGGUGUAGCAGUGAAAUGCGUAGAUAUCGAGAGGAACACCAGUGGCGAAGGCGAGUCCCUGGACAACUCCUGACACUGAGGCACGAAAGCUAGGGGAGCAAACAGG